rnacentral:rRNA from 1 species
UACGAAGGGGCUAGCGUUGUUCGGAAUUACUGGGCGUAAAGCGCACGUAGGCGGCUUUGUAAGUUAGAGGUGAAAGCCCGGGGGCUCAACUCCGGAAUUGCCUUUAAGACUGCAUCGCUAGAAUUGUGGAGAGGUAAGUGGAAUUCCGAGUGUAGAGGUGAAAUUCGUAGAUAUUCGGAAGAACACCAGUGGCGAAGGCGACUUACUGGACACAUAUUGACGCUGAGGUGCGAAAGCGUGGGGAGCGAACAGGA